CAUCUUGAUGGUAAAAUACAUAAAUAAAAAUGUAGCUGCGCUUUAGCUGUAAAUGUUGUCCUUAGCUUAUUUAGCGAGUUAAAACACGGGCUUCCUGUGUUUGCGACUUUCUUACUCGCUUCAAAGUUGGGUUUUGUAAACGACACCAAAACGGCGUCCCAAUUAUUAUAUUUAUUUUUAUUGAAAGCGAAGUCGAAGGUUGUCUCGACACUACCCACCAGGAGCUACAGGUGUCAUGUGAUCCGAGUGACGGUCACAGGCUUCCUGCUUUAAUUUGGACAACAACUUUCCUCUUUGUCCACCGGCUACGAUGAGAACAGCCUGAAAAGUAAAUGAGCAUCCUUAUGGACAGCAGGAGACGGGACGCGGUGGACGAUGGAGAGCGGAGUCUCAUUAGACCGCCCGCUGCCAGCAGCGCUGACUCUCUGGACCAGAAGGUCGCCUCACCGAAGUUCGUCUACUUGUUGACAGUUUUCUCAGCACUGGGAGGAUUUCUUUUUGGGUACGACACCGGGGUGGUCUCCGGGGCUAUGCUGCUCCUAAAGAAGGAGAUGAACCUGAGUGCCCUUUGGCAAGAGCUCCUGGUGUCCAGCACCGUAGGGGCUGCUGCCCUCUCGGCGCUGAGCGGAGGCUCCUUGAAUGGAUGGUUGGGACGCAAGAUCUGCAUCUUGGUGGCCAGCUUCCUCUUCGUUGUGGGCAGCAUCGUCCUCGGUUUUGCUCCAGAUAAGACGGUCCUUCUUGUUGGCAGGAUUAUAGUUGGUUUGGGUAUCGGCUUGGCCUCCAUGACAGUUCCUGUGUACAUUGCAGAAGUUUCUCCCACAGACCUGAGAGGUCAACUGGUUACUAUCAACUCCCUCUUCAUCACUGGAGGCCAGUUCAUUGCCAGUGUGGUGGACGGCGCUUUCAGCUUCCUCAGUCAUGAUGGGUGGAGAUACAUGUUGGGUCUGGCCGCCUUCCCAGCUGGGGUACAGUUAAUUGGCUUCUUAUUUCUGCCGGAGAGUCCACGCUGGCUUCUUCAGAAGGGCCGGAGUGAAGAGGCCCGGCAAGUUCUCAGCAAGAUCAGGGGAGGCCAAAACAUUGAAGAAGAGUACAACUCCAUCAAAACCAGCAUUGAGGAGGAGGCGAAAGAAUCCAUCGGAGGGGGCCUCAUAAUGUUACGCAUUCUCAACUACGGUCCAACACGCCGGGCUCUAAUUGUUGGGUGCGGCCUUCAGAUGUUUCAACAACUGGCUGGGAUCAACACUGUCAUGUACUACAGCGCUACAAUUCUGCAGAUGGCUGGGGUACAUGAUGACAAGCAAGCAAUCUGGUUGGCGGCCGUAACCUCUGCUACCAACUUUGCAUUCACAUUGGUUGGUGUCUGGCUUGUAGAGAGAGUUGGCCGCAGGAAGUUAACCCUGGGCAGUCUCUUCGGCACUGGUCUCAGUCUGACUUUGUUGGCAGUCAGCUUUUUACUGUCAGCUCAGAGUUCUCCACCCAUCACCCUCCACCCGGUCGACCCUCAAAACUCAACCUGCACGCAGUACGAAUACUGUGAAGCCUGCAUGUUGGAUCCCAGCUGUGGAUUUUGUUAUCGUGAUAAUGGCACCACAGUAUACGACUCCUCCUGCGUUCCUGUCAAUCAGGCUUCCACUGACCAUGCAGCCUGGGGAAGGUGUUCCAACCAGACGGAGGCAACAGACAGCCCAGUUUGGGCCUACAAUUAUUGCCCCACGUCCUACUCCUGGGUAGUCCUGACUGGCCUCAUUCUCUACCUUGCAUUCUUUGCUCCAGGAAUGGGUACCAUGCCUUGGACCGUGAACUCUGAGAUCUACCCCUUGUGGGCCCGCAGUACUGGCAAUGCCUGCUCAGCUGGAGUCAACUGGGUUUUUAAUGUGCUGGUUUCUUUGACCUUCCUUCAUGUGGCUCAGUUUCUGACCUAUUACGGGGCGUUCUUCCUGUAUACGGGCCUGGUGGUGCUGGGCCUAAUCUUUGUCCUGGGCUGUCUCCCAGAGACCAAGGGCCUCCCGCUGGAGGAGAUUGAGAACCUGUUUGACAAUCAGCUGUGUUCCUGUGGAGCCUACUCUGUGGAUGACAAUUGCCACGUUCAGUACACUCGGGUAAAUGGCAGCAACUACCUCCACUCUGACAACGAUGCCUCCGAUGUAGACUGAGAAGCAGCUUUCCGCUCUCUCAUUUGGUGUCCUGGCUGUGGGCUUUUUAUAUGUUUUAUGCGUAUAAGGAAGACUGAUGAUUGAUUUGCCAAUCAGCAUGUUCGGACAACUUACAUCAGUCGUCCUUGAGUUUUGUUUUUACUUGCUUUUGUUUCACCUGGGAGCUGGUGUUCUUUCAAAUGUUUCAGUUUUGUUGUUCUCGUUCCCCCACCGCCCCUUCUGUCAUCAUGACAGUGUUUUCCUGGUUGUUGAGUGACCGUAUCUGCCUUCUGUUAUGUCAGCAAAUGUCAGAUGGCCUAAACAACUCUUCGCAUGAUUUCUGUUUUCUAGACUUUUUUGUGGGGAGACAAGCUAUCUGUACAAGAUUUCUUUGUGUUGUGUUCGCCUUAAAGGCUUUUGUUUACUUUCUGUACUUCAGCAAUAAGGAAUCUUGAUUUGGGAGAAAUUAUAAUCAUCUUUAACCUCUUUGGUUUUUCACAAAAUUGACAAAAUGCGCCUUGGUUUGAAACAUACUUUUUAUAAAUUACCUUUAUUUCUGUUGUAUACUGCAAAAUUACAGCUAAUUUUUACAGCUAGUAUUUAUUCUGAGGCGAAUUCCGUGGCAAAUAUAGUGAAUUCACUCCAUGAGGUUGUGCACACGAUAUGAAGGAGGAACCACAUGAGCAAGGAUUAGAGUUAGUGCUGCCUUUGAUGGAAACGGAACUCAGAAUUUCACACUUAUAAAGAGGGGGGAAAAAACACAUAUAGAGUCUAAUAAAGUUCUGAUAAAACAUUAAGUGCCUCCACUAACUAAUUUUGGCAAGCAAAAUAAAACCUUUUUAACUAACUUUAGUUUUGACAGCUGACACAGCAGACCUGUGUGAGUGUUUGACCCAGUGUUAUUUGAGUACUACGGAACAAAAUUAAAAGUUUAAAUUAUUUUUAUGACUGAAAUGGUAAAAAAAUGAGAUGGGGCUACAUUUUAAAACCAUGCUCUUAUUUUCUUCAUCAUAGAAUCCUUCUUCAAACAUGUUAGAACUCAUGUUCUUUAAGUUGUAAUCUUUAAAACACUUUCCUGUUAAAAAAAAAAAAAAAUCACCAUUUUUUUGAAGAUUUUUUGUUUGUGCUGGUUGCUGAUACUGUCUGUAAAGUUGGAGAUAUAUUGCACUUUAAAACCAAAUAUUUUUUAUAUAUAUAUAUGUGUGUGUGUGUGUGUGUAUAUGUAUAUAUGUGUGUGUGUCAGAUAUUUUUUUUCUGUUUUUCUUUUAAUUUUCUACUUAUUCCCUGCAUUUUGUAGCAAGGUUUGGAUUUCAGUCCUGCACACUAUGGAGCGUUGGAGUCAGACAUUGCUGUAGCCUAUAUAAGUCUUAAAUAAUGGUGACCAGGCAGCCGUGAAAAACGUGCAGAACAUCUUGUUUGCUCUGGCUCACUUCGGUAUGAAC